rnacentral:rRNA from 1 species
UAGGGAAUCUUCCACAAUGGGCGAAAGCCUGAUGGAGCAACGCCGCGUGUGAUGAAGGCUUUCGGGUCGUAAAGCACUGUUGUAUGGGAAGAACAGCUAGAAUAGGAAAUGAUUUUAGUUUGACGGUACCAUACCAGAAAGGGACGGCUAAAUACGUGCCAG